AGCUCCAAUAGCGUAUAUUAAAGUUGUUGCAGUUAAAAAGCUCGUAGUUGAACCUUGGGCUUGGUUGGCCGGUCCGCCUUUUUGGCGAGUACUGGACCCAACCGAGCCUUUCCUUCUGGCUAACCUUUCGCCCUUGUGGUGUUUGGCGAACCAGGACUUUUACUUUGAAAAAAUUAGAGUGUUCAAAGCAGGCCUUUGCUCGAAUAUAUUAGCAUGGAAUAAUAGAAUAGGACGUUAUGGUUCUAUUUUGUUGGUUUCUAGGACCAUCGUAAUGAUUAAUAGGGACGGUCGGGGGCAUCAGUAUUCAGUUGUCAGAGGUGAAAUUCUUGGAUUUACUGAAGACUAACUACUGCGAAAGCAUUUGCCAAGGACGUUUUCA
rnacentral:rRNA from 1 species